UGUGAGAACAGGGCAUUAACAUGGCCUAGACUCUGCUGUGAGAACAGGGCAUUAACGUGGCCUAAACUCUGAUGUGAAAACAGGGCAUUAACAUGGCCUAGACACUGCUGUGAAGACAUGGCAUUAACAUACCAGGACUCUGCUGUGAAGACAUGAACAUGGCUGACAUUAGAAGGGUAAGGGUCAGGGGUUCGCUGAAUGGAAAGGAUGGAUAAGGGAGAAACGGGAGCGAUCCAGUUAGAUCUCAAAACUACUGGAUAGUGUUUCUCAUGUCAGGAACCACAUUCAUAUUAUGUAAUGGGGCGGCAUGUGGCCUUAGUGGUUAGAGUGUUGGGCCAGUAACUGAAAGGUUGCUAGAUUGAAUCCCCGAGCCGACAAGGUACAAAACUGUCGUUCUGCCCGCUGAACAAGGCAGUUAACCCACUGUUCCCAGGCCGUCAUUGUAAAUAAGAAUUUGUUCUUAACUGACUUGCCUGGUUAAAUAAAGGUGAAAUUAAAAUGUAAGGGAUAAGCAACGAUGGGUUUAUGUGUUCUGUGGAGAAUAAUGCAGAACGUGGAAGGUGUGUGCCACCUAAUUGCAUUAUUUUCCAGAGAACGCAUAGAGCCUUCAGUUGGUGAUCCCGCUUAUACCACAGCUAUAGUUGAACACGUUUGCCUGUAGAAAUGUGUUCAUCAUCCACUGAAUUAGCUAGCAAAUUUACUAGAUAGAUACUAGAUGGUUAUUACUGCAUUGUCGGAACUAGAAGCACAGGCGUUUCGCUACACCCCGCAUUAAUUAACAUCUGCUAACCAAUGUGUAUGUGACAAAUAAAUGUGAUUUGAUUUGAAGUAGUUGCCUUGGUAACCAAACAAACAGGGCUUGCUAGCUCAGCUAACCAAACCAUCAGUCCUGCUGUCUUGCUAUUAUGAAAAUCGAAUUCAACAAUGCAAAUGGUAUUUUCAAUUGGACUUUUGCUUUCAAAAGCAGCUCAAACAUAGAACUGCUAAGAAUGAACUUCAUAGCCAUUGAGUAAUAAAAUGCAUUAUAGAUAAAUACUGGGCUCUCUAUAAUGCCCUUCUAGCCAAUCAUGGUAUAAAUAGCAAUCUUCUGCGUAACUGAUUUAGCAACUUCUGAGCGGCUCUGUAUGUUAACCUGUAUCCACCUGCCUGCGGAGGAGCUCAAACGUAUGUGUGUGGUUUUACGAUGCAAAGUACACCACCAGGCCUAAAACUAAGCAACGGCCUUGGAAUGACAUUUUCUUCUUCCACGCGGAGCAAAGUUGAAUUCUCUCAUAUAUUUGUAUCAUUAAUGCAAUAACACAAGAGAUAUGGUGAUUCUCCCAAAAUAUUAUGCUAGAGAAAUCACCUUACAAGCUCCAUUGGCAGUCCCUAAAAGCAAAGCCCAGGGCAACGAUUAGUAUUCUUAUCACCCUUCUCCACUCGUCAACCACUUUCAACGCUGUACGAGUAUGUCUCCUGUCACAAGCUAUGGGCGCCCCUCUACAAUGAUAUCCGGGAGCACGGUCGUUGGUUGCCAUGGCACCAUCAAAGAGCUGCUAACCUCUGCUCAACCUAUACCAUUGUUUGUCAGAUGGACACAUUCACAGGUGAUAUAAUGUGAUUCUAUAGACUAAUAAUGCUUUGUCUAUUAUAAACUCAGGUCUACUUGUUGCAUAUUUCUUCUUCUUUUUUUCUGAUAUAAUGUGAUUCUAGACUAAUAAUGCUUUGUCUAUUAUAAACUUUAGGUCUACUUGUUGCAUAUUUCUUCUUCUGUUUUUCUCCUCCCCAAUACACAUUCUGCAUGUGUGCUUAUAUUAAAUGAAAUUAAUGAAUUAUUAAUUAAAUUGUGACAUCGUAUUUUCCAUAAGCUUGUUACCUCAAUCUGUUUAAUACAACUCUACCAGCGUGAUGAUAGCAUCUACAAACAUCUCUGAAACUGGAAACACUUAUCUCCCUCACGAGCUUUAAGCACCAACUGUCAGAGCAGCUCACAGAUUACUGCACCUGUACAUAGCCCACCUAUAAUUUAGCCCAAACAACUACCUCUCUUUCCCUACUGUAUUUAAUUUAUUUAUUUAUUUUGCUCCUUUGCACCCCAUUAUUUUUAUUUCUACUUUGCACAUUCUUCCAUUGCAAAUCUACCAUUCCAGUGUUUUACUUGCUAUAUUGUAUUUACUUUGUCACCAUGGUCUUUUUUGCCUUUACCUCCCUUAUCUCACCUCAUUUGCUCACAUUGUAUAUAGACUUGUUUAUACUGUAUUAUUGACUGUGUGUUUGUUUUACUCCAUGUGUAACUCUGUGUCGUUGUAUCUGUCGAACUGCUUUGCUUUAUCUUGGCCAGGUCGCAAUUGUAAAUGAGAACUUGUUCUCAACUAGCCUACCUGGUUAAAUAAAGGUGAAAUAUAAAAAUAAAAUGAUAA